rnacentral:lncRNA from 10 species
AUUUAGACUACCAAGUCUGCACUCCCUGCACUUAUGCAACUUGCAUAAUCAGGGAGGAGUUGCUAAACAAAAAUCAAUUAUAAAGAAGAAAAAUAAGGAAUACAAGAAAAAAAUCAAAACGCCAAUGAUAUGAUAGAAAGUGGGGUUCUGGUUUUGUUUUUUUUUUUUUUUGAGACGGAGUUUCACUCUGUCACCAGGCUGGAGUGCAGUGGCGUGAUCUCAGCUACUGCAACCUCCACCUCCCGGGUUCAAGCGAUUCUCCUGCCUCAGCCUCCCAAGUAGCUGGGACUACAGGCAUGUGCCACCACACCAGUGUAAUUUUUUGUAUUUUUAGUACAGAUGGGGUUUCACCAUGUUAGUCAGGAUGGUCUCAAUCUCCUGACCUCGUGAUCCGCCCACCUUGGCCUCCCAAAGUGCUGGGAUUACAGGCGUGAGCCACCGUGCCUGGCCCUGGUUGCUUUCUAUUGGGUGGUCAUAAAGGUCUCCCUGAGAAGAUCCUGUCCUAGCUAAGAUCUAGAUGAUAUAACAGCCAUGUAAACAUCUUGCGGGCAGAGGGAACCUAAAAGGUAAAUGAGCUUAGCAUGUCCAAGGAGCCGAAGGAAGACUAGUGCAGAUGAAGUUGGGAGCACGAGAUCAGCUGGAAUAUUUUGGUAAUCCACUAGAAAUAUGAACACACUCUGACGGAGGGUGGCAGUAUAGAUGGGAGAGAUGGACAAAUUUCAGGUAUAAUAUAUUUUGAAGAUAGGAUGGAAAUGGAUUGGCUGUAGGGGAUGAGGGAGGGAAAAAAAAAUAAUCAAGGAAAACAUCUAAGGUUUUGGCCUGAGCAACUGGGCAGAUGCUGAUAUCAGUGACUGACAUGACAAAGAUACAGGGGAGAACAGGUUGAGAAGAAAAUUUUAAAGUGUACUUACUUUGUGUUAGAUGUGAAUUGUCUAUCAUUUAUCCAAAGUGGAGAUUUCAGAGAUAAUAAUAACUACAAUGUUAUACUCGUCACCAUUUUCAAUGUUUUACAAGUAAUAACUGAAUGCUAGGAGAUUACGUACUGAAUGCAGGUUUUGACUGCAGAGUGUGUGCUGCCUUUCCCACCAUAAGCCACCAUAAGAUUAUGACUC